rnacentral:ncRNA from 1 species
CAAAAUUCGAUGAAAGAACGAGUAAAUUUCAUUCUGACUGUAUAAGAGAAAGUUGCCUAGGCUGAAAGCAGCUUCAUCAGCGAAAUUGAAAGACAUUCUAGAGAAGAACGGAAGAAAAGCCGUUCCGUCGCGAGCGUUAAUCGUUAGAGGAAAGAGCAAUCUUUCGAACUUAGGUGGUACCGCGUGUGUCUAUUCACUCGCCCUUGUA